rnacentral:lncRNA from 1 species
UGUCUUCCUGCUCAGGGUUCAUGGAAACCCAGGGUCCUGGGUUCCAAGAGCGUUGACAAAGAACCUGAAGGUCUUCUCUGGAAUCUGCUUAAACAUGGAGUCUCAUGAAGGAACAAGACAGCUUGAGCCACCUGUGGAAGGGCCCUUUGCCUGCGGUUAGACUCUUGCCGAGGUUUGGAUUCUCCUCAAGCAAAGGCAGUGGUUUUGAUGGUCUCCAAGUUGUUGUCAACAAACCCAAGGCUGCAGCUCAUCAGAGAGGCCUCGGACUCUUGCUCCAAGCCCCGGAGGCCCUAGAGUAAGAACAGUGCGCUGGAUCUAAGCCUCAGCCAGGCAGCGAAGACGACCUUAUCAGAAC